rnacentral:rRNA from 1 species
GAACGCGAAGAACCUUACCCGGGCUUGAACUAAGAGUGACAGAUCUAGAGAUAGAUUCUUCUUCGGACACUCUUGGAGGUGCUGCAUGGUUGUCGUCAGCUCGUGCCGUGAGGUGUCGGCUUAAGUGCCAUAACGAGCGCAACCCUUUUCCUUGGUUGCCAUCAGGUAAUGCUGGGCACUCCAGGGAUACUGCCAUCGUAAGAUGUGAGGAAGGUGGGGAUGACGUCAAAUCAGCACGGCCCUUACGUCCGGGGCUACACACGUGUUACAAUGGGGGGUACAGAAGGUCGCUACCUGGUGACAGGAUGCUAAUCUCCAAAACCUCUCUCAGUUCGGAUUGGAGUCUGCAACCCGACUCCAUGAAGCUGGAUUCGCUAGUAAUCGCGCAUCAGCCAUGGCGCGGUGAAUACGUUCCCGGGUCUUGUACACACC